AUAUAUAUCAACCCUUCUCUUUUUGAAUGGUUUGGAUGUGGGGGUUUGCUGGUCUCUUAUAGGGUUCAGCUCUCCUGAAAUGCAUUAGCAGAACAACCUGUUCAUUGGUGUGAUAACUAUCUACGCUUUUGAAUGUAAAGGGACAGUUCAGCUUUCUAACCGUCUUUGGACAAUCUAUCAUUU
rnacentral:misc_RNA from 1 species